AGCUUUGCACAGUGGCAGUAUCACAGCCAAUGAGGUUUAUCCGAGGCACGAUUAUUGCUAAUAGAAUAAUUCAUGAAAUGAUGUCUUAGCUUCAGUGGAAUUGACAAUUCUUUCCUAAUUUUCUUUCUUUUGAUUGAGAUAGAGAU